UACGAAGGGGGCUAGCGUUGCUCGGAAUCACUGGGCGUAAAGCGCACGUAGGCGGAUUGUUAAGUCAGGGGUGAAAUCCUGGAGCUCAACUCCAGAACUGCCUUUGAUACUGGCGAUCUUGAGUCCGGGAGAGGUGAGUGGAACUGCGAGUGUAGAGGUGAAAUUCGUAGAUAUUCGCAAGAACACCAGUGGCGAAGGCGGCUCACUGGCCCGGUACUGACGCUGAGGUGCAAAAGCGUGGGGAGCAAACAGG
rnacentral:rRNA from 1 species